UGUUUGAAUGAAGAAAAGGCUCGGGGAGGAGACAUGGCUUGUGUAAGUUCACACAGUCGUCAUUUGGCGAAAUCAGGGUAGAAACCAAGGUUUUUGACUGUCUGUGAGCCUCUGUGUUGACAUCUCUUCGCACACUGACUCUUCAUGGUCUCCCGUACCUUUAUUGUUCCCUCAGCAAGGAGCUUCAGAGCUGCUUGACCUUCACAUGUUUCCUUCUUCCCCACAAACCAAAUGGCAAAUAUCUAUUCACCAAGACCUUCUAAUUCUUUCGCCGAUUUAAAAACUCUUUCAUAAUUAGAAAAAUGUACCAACAAUAAAAUUCAGUUUUUUCGGAGCAUGUAGUUGGACGAGUUUAAUCAUAUGUGUAUAAACAACACGUAGAAUAACCCAGCACCCCCUCAAAUUCCCUCACGCUGUCUCUUUGUAGUCAAACCCUCCCCUUUCCCCUGACUCCUGGUAACACGGAUCUGUUCUGUCGCUGUAGUUUUGCCUUUUCCAGAAAAUCAUGUAAGUGGGAUUAUAUAAACUCGAUCUCUUUGAGACUAGCUUCUUUCAUUGAGCAUAAUGCAUUGGAGAUUCAUCCAAGUUAAGUUGUCAAUUUGUCCCGUUUUAUCAUUAAGUGGUAUUGCACUGUAUGGGUAUACCACUGUGUGUUUACCCAUCACACCAGCAGUGUGUGAGGCUCCUAGUUGCUCUGCGUCUUGGCUAGCAUUUAUUGCCAGUUUCAAAAAUUUAGCCAUUCUGGUAGAUGUGUAGUGGUGUCUCACUGUGAUUUUAAUUGGCACUUAUUUCUCCAGUGAUUGUCGAAUACCUUUUCAUGUGGGUAUUUGCUGUUCCUCUUGUCUGUUAUGUAAAUCUGUAUAUCUUCUGUCCUUUGGGGUGUUUGUUUUACCCACUGUCAUUAUCAGAGGCCUAUUCCAUGUGGUUUUACGCUCAGUUUUCUGUCAACAUUGUUGCCCACAGUAUGUUCCAGGGUCAAGGCACUGAGUUAGGAACUUUAUAUACACGAUCUCAUUUUGCCCUUACAAAAGGCCUGUGAGAUAAGUGGUAUUUUUCUGUUUUUGAUGGAGGAGAAAUAAAGACCCAUGUUCAACAGAUGUUUAUUGAGUUUCUGCUCUAUGCUCUUAGCCGGUUAGUAUAAGCCAUUGGCCAGUUCUGUGACUUUGGGCAAGCCAUUUAAUUUCUGAGCCACUUUCCUUAUGUGUUAAAUAGGGAUCUAUAUCACAGUAUUUUCUCUCAGGGUUAGUGAGCGAAGGUUUUAAGAAGGACUGUAGGAAACAUGCCCAGCAGACGCCUGACCACAGUAGAUACUGAGAAGCAUCGGCAGUGGCUGCUUCUGUUGUUCUCUUCAAACACUUUAUACCGUCCUGAGGCUGUUUCUCCCCCUUGCUGGCUGCCUUCCUCUGGAAAAUUGCCCCUUGGCAGGUCUCCUCCUCCACUCUGGAUCACAUAUUAGAACCAACAUGAAAUUGAGCCUUUUGCUCUUAAGAAUUGUUUCUCUGUUUCCUCUGUGUAGAUCAGUCAUGAAUUGCAUCAGUUGGUCAAGAAGGAUGGGAUUGGUGAGUUUUGCAAAGCAGACCUGCAGCGCUGCAUUACUCUUCCUUCCUUCCCCUAAAUGCAGAGGACCUGUUACCAUGGAGAUACUGGUAGCCAGCUUUGGGGGGGGGCGUGUUCCUAAAUUCCUAAAUUCACUGGGGUAUGGUGAUAGGGUGCUACGGAGCCACCUUAUCUCUCAGAGCAACUGUGCGUGUAGUGUUGCUGAAAUUUUCAAAAGUUGUCAUUUACUAGUCAGUCGGGUUUUUUUUUAUUUUGGCCAGAUAAUUUGGGAUGAUUUUCAGGAAACUGGAAAUUCUUUGAAGAGGGGUUGGUAUUUGAAAUGAGUGCCUUAGAUUUUCUAAAGUCAGUAACAGAAAAGUUAAAUGAGCCAGGUGUUUUACUUUGAGUUCAUUCCAGGUCCAGUGUUUAUGUAAGAAUGUCUAACUUUUACUAACACUGUAAAGGGUUGAUCUAGUUGGCAAGGUUAUUCUGUUUAGGGUGGUGCAGAAAGGGAAAAUCAUAAUAUUAGCAAAAAGAAAAAUAAUCAUGAUACGAAGAUGGCCUUUUACAAAUUGUCAAGUCAUCCGUCAUAGAGUGUGUGAGGCUUUGUGGAAGCGAGAGUAUGGUUAAAAUUGGCUCCCUGCUUUUUCCUUUGGGAGUUGCUAGAGCGCAUUUUCUCUUCAUCCUCCAAUUGUUAGGCAUUUACCCAAUAUUUACCAUGUUCCAGGACCAUGUUAUGUGUUGUCUCUUGAAUCCUCACAGCAACCCAUUGAAACAAAAGAUAGGCCCAUUUUACAGAUGAAAACCUUGUGUAGAGAGACUGUUUGAGUUGCCCAGUGUAACCCCAUAAGGAGGUGACGUUGAGCCCUGCUUUUCUGCCUGUGCCUGCUGCUCUUGGUGCCCACUUUUCUCAGUCUGCCCCUUGUGGAGGAUGGCAGCUGCCUCCUGUGCACACCUUCUCCCGAUAUGGCUUUUGCUUCCUUCUGGGGGUGCUGUUUCCAAGACCUAAGGCCCACGCCUGCCUACCACCCUGGGGUCAGGUGAUUUAAUUUUGUUCAGAAGGCCCACUGUAGAAAGAACGUGAACUCUAAGACAGAGACAAGGUUCAAGUUGUGUCUUUCCCAUUUUUUUUUAUUACCUAUGUGAUUUUUACUAAGUUACUUAAACUCCCAGAGCUUAAAUUUCUUCACCUAUAAAAGAGGAAUAAUACAUGCCUGGUAGAGAUCUGGGGAGGAUUAGAAAUAAGGCAGUAGAGCACUGGCAAGUGCUUGGCAUAUUGUAGAUGCAUAGAAACUGGUAGCUACUAUUAUUGUCACCAUUGUAGGGCCUUCUGGCUGGUCUUGGGGGACCGAAAAAGCUACCUAGAGUAGUGGUUAAGUAUGUGAAAUCUGGAAUAAACUGGAUUCAAAUCCUUGUUUUACCACUUCUCUGCUGUGUGACUGUGCACAACUUGAUUGCUUUCUAUGUCUCAGUUUCUGCCAUCUGUAAAAUGGGUAUAAGCAGUAUUUUCUACCUCAUAGGGAUAAAUGUUUGAUUGUAAAGAGAUAAAUAAGAAUUGUCAAGAGGUUGAGUUGAAAUGACCCACUUUGGUCAUCCAGUGGCAGUGUUUCUUUCAGUGACAGAAUAUGAGCUUCCUUGAAAUUUACAGUAGCAUUUCUUCUCUCCUUUCUGCCCAAAUUGAAAACAUUUCUCAUUUUUUGUAUUUAAUGCCAACAGAAAUGUUUGAACCAUUAACUAUAAAUGCAGAUUAAAUUAUCACAAAAUUACUACCUCCACCUAAGAAAUUAAAUCUAAAAAAGCGUUUUUUUUUUUUUUUUUUGUCUAGAGAAUACCUAAGUUAUUUUUAAUAGAAUUACUACACAUAAAAUUAGGUACAGUAGGAGUUUCCACUGUGGCUCAGUGGGUUAAGAAUCCGACUGUAGUGGCUCUGGUUGCUGCAGUGGCUUGCGUUCAAUCCCUGGCCUAGUGAAGUGUGUUAAAGGAUUCGGCACUGUCACGGGUGCAGUGUAGGUUGCAGCUGAGGCUUGGAUUUAAUCCUUGGCCUGGGAACUUCCAUAUGCUGCAGGUGUGGCCUUAAAAAAAAUUACAUAUAGUAAAUAAAAAUUCACCUCAUUUUAUAGGCGAAUAUAUAAAAAACACGAUCAGCUCUAUAUUAAAAAAAAAUAACAGCAAUACAUGCUUUCAUUGAAAUGAUUUGACUCCACUGCUUUAAUCUUGAAUUUGGCUGGGUUGCAUUUGAGUUAAUUUUUUCCCCCUUCAAAUUGGCAGCAGUAAAAGGGCACCAUAGACCUGAGUCCACCGGGAGGAAAACAGUCUCUGAAUGUCACAUAGGUCUAGAAAUCCAAUUUGGCUGAUACCCGUAGGCAGUGUGUGAUGCUGGCUGGGUCUGCAUCAUUAUUCCGAAGUCUGUACUGAUGUCCUGUGACUAAUAGGUUCCAGCUGUCUGGGUCACUGCUUUGGAGUACUAUUUAUUUGCAGUUGUGAUGCUGCAAAUAGGAAAAGCUUUCCCUUUUGUUGGUUGAAAGCUUUGCUUGUAAUUAGCAAAACAAGCAUGCCUCUUCUUUGGAGAGAGACUGGAAAGGCUGGUAAAGAGUCAAUUGUACACGACCACUUUGGAAGACAACUUGGCAUUGCUGGAAGAGUUGAACGUAUGUGGUCCCCAAGGCCAGCUCUCUUGUCCUAGGUAUAUGCCCUGGAGAAACUCUCGCUGUGUCCACCAGGCAGCGAACACAAGAAUAUGAAUGGCAGCCUUAUUCAUAAUGGCAAAAACUUAAAAAUCCCCAGAUGAUCCUCAACAGUAGAAUAGAGCAGUAAAUUGUGGCUAUGUUCACACAGCAAGAACUUUAUGAUGGUGAAAAACCAGCCACAGUCACAGGAGGCAACAGGGAUGAAUCUCACAAUCAGAAUCUUAAGAGCAGAGUCCUCAGACAUACAGUCUGAUUUCCUUUGUAUUAGGCUUAAAACUGGGUCGAACACAACAAUGUAUUGAGAAUACAGAGGUGGUAAAACCAUAAAGAGGUGCAAAGGAAUGGUUAACUCAAAGUUCAGGCUAGUACAUGGGAUUCAUUUUAUUAUUCUUUAAAGCUGACAUGUUAUUAUAUUCGUUAUCACUGUAUCAUAAGUUACCUCAAAAUUGAGCAGCUUGAGACACUGAUAGACCUUCUUAUCUCACACAAUUUCUCUGUGUGUCAGGAGACCAGGAGCCGCUUAGCUGGAUGGUUCUAACCAGGGGGUCUUGUGGGGCUGCAGUCAGGAUGAAAGCCGAACCAGCCGUUGUCUGAAGACUUGACUGUGGGGUCGAGUCUCCUGCUUCUAGGAAGCCUUACUCACCUGGUUGGUGCAGGAGGCCUUGGUUCCUUACCAUGUCAGCUUCCCUGUAGAGGGACAGGAGCCUCCUCAGGACAUGGCAGCCAGUCUCCCUGCCAAGUCAGAGUGAGAGGGAAGCUGCCGUUUUGACCUAGCCUUUGAAGUUCCAGCCCAUCAUUUCCCCAGCAUUGUAUUGGCCCUGCAUGCCAGGCUUGUUCAGUGUGGGAGCGGACUUGACAAGAGUGGGCAUACCGGGGCCACCUUGGGGGCUGGCCUCUGUGGUGAUGUGCUUUUUAAUACAAUACAUUUUAUAGUAGAAAGUUUAGUUUAGAGGCAAACUAAAUUGGUAUGCCUGUUUUUUGUUUAGGAGUGGGAUGCAGACAUCCAUUUAAAUGAGAUUACUGUAGAUGCUGAAUUGAGUUGCCUGUCAGUAUGGGUUUGGUUUAAUUUGAGUGACCAAGUGGCAAGAGCCUGCCUGACAGGGGUGUCUGGGGGCAGGGAUGAGAGGAACUCCAGUAACACUUGCAUCAGGAUGUGUGGUCCAGAGAUGGGACUUGGGUAUCUAGACUUCCUCCCACUUGUGCUUAGAGCUGGCAAAAAACUCAGCUGAGCUUCUCGGCCUCAAUGUGAUAUUAAAAUCCCUGCCAGCUUCGCAUGUUCUCUUGAGACCAUCUUUAAUGGAAAAGGAGAGAGAUUCUGCCCCUUGCUCCCUUCCCCCACAUGUAAGGAUGUAGCUGGAAAUGAACUAGGCAAAUAAGGAUCAGAGUUGAGUUUAAAAAUUCAUGCAACGAUUGCGUUCAACUCCAUAAUGCGUAUCUUUUUCAAUAUUAACAAUUUGAUCAUUGCUUAUCCUUCCUUCACCAGAAUCUGUGAGUGAAGUUGAUGUUUCCGAGGGUACAUGAUAUUUUUUUCCCUUGGUUUUUUGUAUCUCUUGGCAUAACUUUUCAAUCAGUAUUCCUGGGGUCCAAGUGCUCUUGUUUGUGCGGCACUGAGUCACAUCCUAUCUUUUUUGUGGGUUGCAACAUUCUUGUGAACAGGUGUUCCAAUGCUCAAGAGCAGUAGCUGCUUAGAAGGUUCUCUCGAUGUUUAAUCACACUGACUCAAGUGGAGGAGACAGGAUUAAAAGCCAGGGGCUGGGGUCCCUGACUAGCUUUCCUCAAACUUUGUACGCUAGCACCUUUACAUGGUAGGCAUCGAGACCG
rnacentral:lncRNA from 1 species